GGUCCCGUAGCUCAAAUGGUUAGAGCAGCUGACUCAUAAUCAGUUGGUUCCAGGUUCAAGUCCUGGCGGGACCA
rnacentral:tRNA from 1 species